GUAGUAUUUUUACAUCCUGGCACAAAACACGAUUUAUAUAUUAAUCAAAGCUUAGUAAUAACGCUUAUUUUAGGAUCAUCGAGAGAAUAAUUGUCGUAUUUACUUUGUAUCAUACGUUCAGUAUUUAUUUUAUACCUAUAGCGUCACAAAAUAUGGCGGCCUUACUGAAAUAUUUAAACUAUUUACAGCAUUUUCAAUAACUUUUUUUUCCAUAUUGAUGAAAGAAUUUAAAAAACUAUUUUUCCUCAAACCACAGAGAAAAUUGGUAAUCGUAUCGUUUAACCCUCACAGUUCCGAUUUAGUAUCUGUAGAGGUUAUCAUGCUGAUUAAUUUGCUAUGAAUAUAUAGUGCGCGGAAAUCAUAUCUUCACAUAAUUUUUUAUGCUGAAAAUUGAAUUAAUAUAAUGAUUUCUUUACAUGCAAUAUUUCUCAGAAACGGUGUAUCCAAUCAAGAUGAUAUCACUAUCUAAGGAAUUCAUGUAAAACUUAGCAGUCUUUGUUUGUCGAAUAUAUGCUAUUUGUAUGAUACGAGAUGAAGAAUUUAACGGCGAAGCAUGAAAAAGUAAUUUAGGAGUUGCGUUGUACUGGAAUAGGAAAACUGAAAAUUUUAUACCAGCUGGACAAGAAGAAAGAGGACGUCCCUCAAAUAGAGCCAAAUUCAUGGAUAAGACGACAAAGAUCACUUGCCCAAUGUGCACAGUACAGCUCUGCGAUUAUUGUUUUGCUAAGAAUCAUCAAACAUCAAACGAUGUUUUUCUUUAAUUUUUUUUCCUUUUCAUUGCAAUAUAUAUAUUAUAUCCUCUACUAUUUCUAAUUAUACCAAUUUGUAUACGAGUAUAUAUAUACUAAAUUAUCAAAAAAUAUUCUGUUUUGUAAAUAUUACAUGCAUUAUUAAAAUAAAAAUAGUUAAGACUGUAGUUUUUUCAUCAGUGGUGUACAAAAUCGGGCUCAAUCCAUUCAAAAUUUGAAAUUUAUGUCAGUAAGUCAAGUCAAGUUCCAUGACAUCCAAGUCACAAUGUCUUUUAGAGAUGCUUGAACAAUUAUAUAUGUAAGAGAUUGUUACCGCAUCAAUAGCAGAAGUACUAAUAUGAAUGAAGCUCUCAUAAUCACCUAUACCUGAAGAAAAAACAUUCCUUAGUUCACUAUGUACAGUCAUUUAACCUGAUAUCUAACCGUAUCUUUGAGAAUAUUUCGAAUAUCCAGCCAUAAUUUGAUAUUAACUUUUCCUGCCUUCCGCUAAUUUAGUUUUCAAUGUAAUAAACCACAAUUACUUCAUGUGAUGUUUAUUAAAACUAAUAGGUCUUUUAAAAGUACUUAACCGCGCCCUUUAGCACUUAUUAAAAUUCAAAUUUUCCAUCAACAUAAUCCUUGAAAAACGUAGAAGUUUAUAAAUACAUUGGCAGAAGUAACUUACGUUACGACAAGCAGUGUUUUUGCAGAAUUCUAUUUUAAUUAAUUGUAUUUUCAAAAAACAUAAUUAUAUAAAGUUUUACUAACGACUAUGUAGUAUCAUUAUUAUUAUUUAAUUAACAACAGAAGUCAGCUUAUUAAGGUUGAUACAACGAUGUCAUCUUGCAAGCCAAUAGAAUGUGGAGUACCUCAAGGCUCAGUACUAGGCCCUAUUUUGUUUCUUUUGUUUAUAAACGACAUCGCCUAUCUAGACAUCGGUGGUAAAAUAUGUCUAUUUGCAGACGACACUAGUUUCUCUUGGAGCAACCCUGAUCUAACGGAACUUCGUAGGACCAUAUCUAGUAACCUAAUCACCAUUAAAUCAUGGUGCGAUUCUAAUAUCUGUCUCAACGUUUCUAAAACUAAAUUUUUAUUUGAAAUGGGAGUUACAUAUUGCCGCCUUAUCUAAAAAAAUUGACUUCCUCCUGUUUUGCGCUGAGAUCAGUUUCCAAAGAACUGACCUUAUCCAUCUCCUUAACAGUUUAUUAUGCCCAAAUUGAGUCGCAUCUCCGAUAUGCUAUUCCUUUCUGGAGAACGUGUGGUGCGAUUCAAUUUGAGCGAAUCUUCAAAAUACAAAAGAGAGCUGUUGGAUAUUUACUUGGACUAAACAGCAGGACUCACUGCAGAGACUUCUUUGAAAGAUUAAAAAUUCUGACUUUUCCUUCCUUAUUUAUCUUUGAUAAUUCGUAAGCACGCUUCUCCAAUUUCAGAAAGGACGUUACACGGCUAACCAUUUAGCAACACGACCUUCACCUACCUACUCCACGUUCAAAAUUCUAUUCUAUUCUAAUAAGAAUAUUUAAUUUCGGACAUGCUGCAUACUGGUUUAAUUUUGUUAUGAACUUAUAUAUACCCCCACAAAAAUUAUCGCAUCACUCAUUAUUUUUUAAAUCUUUUAAAUGUGAUGCCUGUUUUUCGAAUUUUAUUAUUAUUACGAAUUAAAACACCAAUAGAUUCGCCUUUUGCAAUAUUUAUUUUAUAUCAGUUCAAUCUACAGAGGACAAAAAGUUUGAUUUACCAAAACAUAGAAAAUAUCAAAAAAAUUGUACAAAACAUCUAUACAAAAAAUGAGCGGUGCUUAAACUAAAACCAGCCAAUGAAUGUCUAAUAGCGUGUGUUGCCGCCCCUCGCCCUAAUUACAGCUUCCAUUCGUCUUCGAAGGAUUCUAAACAGGUUCUGGACGUAUCCUUGCGGCAUGUUUUCCCAGAGAAGAUAAAAAGAACAUUUUGAAGAUCAUCUAGUGCUCUUAUUGGUGCCGGAUGUUGCUGAAUUUGCCAUCCUAUAUGUCCCAGACAUGCUCUGAUGGGCUACGUGCGGGCCAAUUCAGGGUUGGUAUCUCGACCUCUUCUAAGUACUGCCGAACCACUCUAGUAGCGUGUGGACGGGCAUUAUCGUGCAUUAACGCAGAGUUAUGAGGCAUAUAGGGCACUACAUGGGGUUCUAGGAUAUUGGUUAUGUACCUGUCAGCAUUUAGUCUUCCAUCAUUCACUGGUAGUAACUCCGUGCGACCCUCGAAAUAAAUUCCUCCCCAAACCAUGAUAGAGCCACCACCAAAGCUUUCAGUUCGACAGAAAUUAACCUGAUCGUGCCGUUCACCACGUCGCCUAUAUACUGGUACACAAAUACAGACAAAAUCUUGACUCAUCCGUGAAUAAAAUAUUGGACCAAUCUUGAAUAUUCCAAUUUGCGUGUUCUCGAGCAAAUUCCAAUCUUGCUACUCGAUACUCGAUGUUCCCUGGUAAGACGUGAACCUCUAGCUGGCACUCUGGCUCGUAUACCAUCUUUUUUCAGCCUAUUUCGAACUGUUUGUAGAUUUAUUCAGACAUUACGAGCACCAACAGAUCUGUUUGCAGCCUUCGAGCGGUGGUAUGCCUAAUUCUUAACGCCGUUAACCUCAAAUAACGAUCAUCUAUUACCGAAGUUACCUUUCCUCGGCCUUGUCCGGGUCUUCUGGUUAGUUGCCCUUUCUUGGUAGCGAAUAACAACUCUGGAUAUGGUACCCCGGCGACGUAUCUUUGACUGCGGCCAUCUUGUAUGAGCGCGAUGAUUCUAGCGGCUUCUUCAUUCGUCCCAUGUCUUGUUUAACGUUGAGACACAUCCAUUAUUAACAAAAUAAAUUUAAAUUUUCACUAUACAAUAACACAAUUUGCUUAGUUCUCGAUCUCAAUGCAUUCUCCAACACAGAAAUGAUUUACUCGAGCAUUUUUGCUUCCAACAAAAUUUGUAACAAAUUGUGAUAUUUUUUUUGCCCAUGAUAAGAAACCAGAAAUAUCUAUUAAGUUGAUACAUAUACAGAUUGUCCCAAAAAACUAAAAUUAAGUAUUAGAAAUAUAUUAAAAUACCAAAAUGCGAUAAUUUUUGUGCGGAGUUUAUUAAUUAUUUCCUACUCGUAUUUUACUAAUGCCUAUAAUUUUGUUACUCAUUGUGGUUCUUUUCUGUAUAUUGAAAUUUUAUUUUAUUUGUUUUAACUUUGUUUUUUAGUUUUUAUAAGCUUUUGUCUACAAAUUGUAACAAUUUUUUGACAAUAAAGCAUUUCUCUCCUUA